rnacentral:rRNA from 1 species
UACAGAGGUCCCAAGCGUUGUUCGGAUUCAUUGGGCGUAAAGGGUGCGUAGGCGGCGCGGUAAGUCGGGUGUGAAAUUUCGGGGCUUAACUCCGAAACUGCAUUCGAUACUGCCGUGCUUGAGGACUGGAGAGGAGACUGGAAUUUACGGUGUAGCGGUGAAAUGCGUAGAUAUCGUAAGGAAGACCAGUGGCGAAGGCGGGUCUCUGGACAGUUCCUGACGCUGAGGCACGAAGGCCAGGGGAGCAAACGGG